rnacentral:rRNA from 1 species
AACGAACGCUGGCGGCAUGCCUAACACAUGCAAGUCGAACGAGACCUUCGGGUCUAGUUGCGCACGGGUGCGUAACGCGUGGGAACCUGCCCUUAGGUUCGGAAUAACUCCCCGAAAGGGGUGCUAAUACCGGAUAAUGUCUUCGGACCAAAGAUUUAUCGCCUUUGGAUGGGCCCGCGUUGGAUUAGCUAGUUGGUAGGGUAAAAGCCUACCAAGGCGACGAUCCAUAGCUGGUCUGAGAGGAUGACCAGCCACACUGGGACUGAGACACGGCCCAGACUCCUACGGGAGGCAGCAGUGGGGAAUAUUGUACGAUGAGCGAAAGCCUGAUCAAGCAAUGCCGCGUGAGUGAUGAAGGCCUUAGGGUUGUAAAGCUCUUUUACCCGGGAUGAUAAUGACAGUACCGGGAGAAUAAGCUCCGGCUAACUCCGUG